UACAGCCAUAUCCAUUUGAAACACCAGUUCCCAUAUGAUCAUUGAAGAUAAGCAAUGUUGAGCCUGGUCAGUACCUGGAUGGGUGACCACUUCGGAAUACCAGAUGCAGUAA